rnacentral:lncRNA from 1 species
AUGGAUGAAAAUGCUUGGAGCAUUGAUAAAAUCCACGCUUUUUACGAGUAUGUCCUUAAAGAGAGGGAAUCGCUGAGGGUAACUGAUGAUGUGCUUCGACAGUGUUGGACGCUCCUUCAGGUAGUGACCUCUUUGAACGAUUUAUCUCCCUCAUCGCUCAACUUGCAGAGUCUUCUGAGUAACCCCAAUGUCCAAUCGCUGUGUUUGGAACAACAUGAGUUUUGGCCACGUCUAGGUGCCACACUUCUCAAUGCAGCCCCGUCGCAUUAUGUCGCUGAUUUAAUGGCCCAGUUAGUUGAUCGUAUUUAUGAUAGUGGAAGUUUGAUGCACCAUGAGUUGUUAGAAAAAAUCUGGGAAAAAAGAGGUGACCUGAAGCUAUCUAAAAGAGCUCUAGAGCAAAUAUUGAAAACUCAUCCAUCCUUGUUAGAAGCCUCAUUAUCAAAAUUACUCCUGAAAGAAGAUGACUGCCUUUCAGCGAAGGCGCUCUGGAGCCAACCUUGUCACACUGCCUUGGUUCGCCUGGCUGCUGAGUCACCAGAAGUCUUCCAAGCAGCAAGUAGCAUCAUGAACGAAAUCCUUAUCCGAACAAACCUUGCUGCUCACAUCGUGGAAUUAAUCCGAAUGUUUAUAAGAGGAGUAAGGUCAGUACAUAAAGCAGAUCUCAAUGCCUUUGUUUCAUUGUACCCGCUUCACGUCCAGUUUCUAGUCAUGUUUUUGUCGACGAAAAGGUGGGAUGCAUCUAAAAGUGAAUCAGAAAAAUUGAACAAUUUCGUUCAUCUUAAAUUGAAGGAGCUUCUAAAAGACGAUGUCAAAGGGUUCUUGUGUUUGGCCAUGCAUUUUCCAGCUUCAAACGAUACAUUCCAGAGUUUAAAAUUUGAUGGAACUUUUGCUUUCUCCCAGUUAGAAAAGGUUAAAUUUCCAAGCUAAAAAGUUCUAUCAUUUGAAUUUAAUAGCCUAACAAAGUGACUGCUUUUCAAGUGAGGUUUGAAGACAAAAUUUGCACUCAGGUUUAAGUUACUAUUUUCAUUAAUGGGUCAGAAAAUUGUGAUAGCUUAAUCAAUUCGUCACACUCUUAUUGUGUGUUUUUGCGUCUUUAUUUUUUCUACACCAGCUA